AGUCUGAGCUGUCCUUGUUAGACUGCUUAGCAAUGCUGGAAUCUUGGAGACAUCAGCAUGCUUAUGUCACAAGCCACAUCUGUCACUGCAGGAUUUGUGUUUGUCCUCACGUUAAUAAUAACUGAUGGAGGCACCAAGUCGCCUUCCCUUAAAAGCAAGGAGUCUGAAUAUCAGUUUGGGAAGAGGUGCUUCAAAGAUCAAACCAGGCCCAUGACAGUGACAUCAAUUAUACUUAUCAGUUUUCCACCCCCUGCUAAAGUAACCACAACAUUAUCAUGAGGAAAUCAUGAAAAGAAAAAGCAUGCUGCAGCAUACUCAUUCAACUUUGAAUAUAAUCAAAGAAGAAAUACCAUCCUUCACAAGUGAACUGCAGAAUUAUUUCCUACCCUGAGGAAUUGAUCUUUUCAUACCACUAUGGUGAGAUUUAACUUCUCUCAGAAAAACCAAAAAAUAAAGUGUUGUAUUACAAGGCUGUGUCCUGUAAAUACUUGAGAGUUAUGCCUGUAAUUUCCCUAAAGUUCAUGGUCUGCAGUGCUUGCUCAUGUCCAAAGUGGUUUAGAAGAUCAGACUCCAAGCUUUAAUACCCUUGAUUACUAUCUGUUACAGGAUUAGAAAGUGAUUGGGAAAAGAAACAAUAGUUAAUAUUUGGGUCCCAUUUACCAAAGAGACACUUUUGGAGCUCGUCAUGGAUUGAUGAUGAUUUAUUCUCAUCCAGAUUUUUGAAUUCUCAAUUUUUUUUCAAUAGAAUGUAUAGUAAGUCC
rnacentral:lncRNA from 1 species